rnacentral:rRNA from 1 species
UCUUGCGCAAUGGGCGAAAGCCUGACGCAGCAACGCCGCGUGCGGGAUGAAGGCCUUCGCCCCCUAAACCGCUUUCAGCAGGAACGAAAAUGACGGUACCUGCAGAAGAAGGAGCGGCCAACUACGUGCCAGCAGCCGCGGUGACACGUAGGCUCCAAGCGUUGUCCGGAUUUAUUGGGCGUAAAGAGCUCGUAGGCGGUUUAGUAAGUCGGGUGUUAAAACUCUGGGCUCAACCCGGAGAGGCCAUCCGAUACUGCUGUGACUUGAGUUCAGGAGGGGAGCGGGGAAUUCCUAGUGUAGCGGUGAAAUGCGCAGAUAUUAGGAGGAACACCGGGGCGAAGGCGCCGCUCGGAAUAAACGACGCGAGGAGCGAAA